AUGCUAUCGACCUGUCAUGUGGCUGUACUGUUGGGUGCAGAUGACUUGAGUUGUACUAAAACCUUUCUCUUGAGCUGGGGGGACGACGAGCUCGGGCGUCCCUCGUCUCGCCGCCGCCGCCACGCGAUGCCCCCGCCCGGCAGCCGCGUCGCCACCUACCUCCGCCGCGCGCGGCUCAUCGACUCGCUGCGCCUGCGCCUCCGCUCCCCUUCCUCCCCGCCGCCGCCCCCACCCGACGACCCCGUGGUCGCGCUCCACGGCAUCCGCGCCGCGCCCACCCCAGCGGCGGCGCUCUCCUUCUUCCGCGCCCUCCCCUCGCCGGCCCCGCUCCCGCUCUUCCACGCGCUCGCCUCCCGCCUCGCCAACCCCGCGUCGCUCCCCGACCUCCGCUCCCUCCUCGCCUCCUUCCCCCUGCCCCCUCCCCCGCUCGUGCGCCUCCGCCUCCUCGCCGCCGCGGGGGACCACCCUGCCGCCCUCGCCGCCUUCGCCUCCAUCCCGACCGCCCCGCACCGCCCCGCCGAGGCGCACACCCUCGUCAUCGACCUCCACGCCGGCGCUGGGAACCACGCCGCCGCCGUGGACGCGUUCGGCGCCAUGGUCCGCGAGGGCGCGCUCCCCAACGCGCGCACCUACACCGUCGUCGUCGCCCACCUUGCCUCCGCGGGGUUCGUCGACCAGGCGCUCGAGGUGUUCCGGCUCCUGCCGUCGCUGCGCACGCGGCGGACCACCCGGCAGUACAACGUGCUCGCCGAGGCGCUCGCGGACGCCGGGAGGUUCGACCAGCUCCGGUGGCUGGUCCGCGAGAUGGCGGCCGUCGACGGCGUCAUGCCCGGGCCGCAGACGCGGGCUGCCAUCGCCGCCAUGAGGGAAGCCGGCCACACGGAGGGCACCGAGGACUUUGUCGAGGAGCUUUCGCCGGACGCAAGGAUCCCGUACGCCGUGGACGACGCGGACGGCGAGGGAGGCAGCGAGGAGGAAGAGGACGGUGAAAAGGACACGCCCAGAGCUAAGGAGACGCCGCUCAAGCCAUGGCUGGACCCGCGGGAGCUCGCGAGGGCGCUGGAAGGCUGGGACCCCAAGGAGGUGGCGGAGCUGGAGGCCGCCGGGAUCGUCUGGACGCCGCGGCUCGUGUGCAAGCUCCUGCGCGCGUUCAGGAAGCCGGGGACGGCGUGGGAGUUCUUCUGCUGGGUGGCGUGCCGCCCCGGCGGCUUCGCGCACGACCGCGACACCGUGGCGAGGAUGGCCGCCAUCCUGGCCCGCGCCGGCCGCGACGACCUGGUGGAGCGCCUGCUGGCCAAGGUGCGAGACGACGGCAUCCUCCUCCCGUUCGCCACCGUGCGUCUAAUCGUCGACUUCUACGGGCUCUCCAAGAAUGCCGACGCGGCGGUGAGGGUGUUCCGGGAAGCCGACUCCAUCUGCGGCCCCGUGUCGCGGCCCAACCUCGCGCUGCUCUGCUCGUCGCUGCUGAGGACGAUGGCCAAGUGCCGGCGAGGGCGCGACGCCACGGAGCUCCUGGAGGAGAUGAUGGUGACGCGCGGCGUGCUCCCGGACCUGCAGACCUUCUCGGGGCUGAUGGAGCACCUGGCCGGCGCCGGCGACCUCAAGGGCGUGCACAGGCUGUUCGGGAUGGUGCGGCAGUGCGAGCUGCGGCCCGACGGGCACAUGUACGCCGUGCUGAUCAGGGCCUACUGCAAGCGGGAGCGCGCGGCGCUCGCGCUGAAGCUGUUCGACGAAAUGCGCGGCGCCGGGGUCGCGCCGGACGCGCCCACCAAGGCGCUGCUUGUGAAGAGCCUGUGGCGGGAAGGGAAACUCCGGGAGGCGGCGCUGGUCGAGGAGAGGUGCGAGGAGAUGAUCACGGCGGGAGGCGGCCUUCCCGGGGCGGCGCCGGGGCAUGUGUGGACGGCGAGCGCCGCGGACUUGAACAAGGUGUAUGGCAUCUAUUCCGGGUGCUUUAGGCGGCAUGAUGCAGAGCAAUUGGCGGCUGAUGGAGGCACUGAUUGA
rnacentral:rRNA from 1 species